rnacentral:tRNA from 1 species
GGGGUUGUAGCUUAGCAGUAGAGCUCUUGUCUCGAACGCACGGGACCCUGGGUUCGAUCCUCAGCACCCCA